UACGUAGGCAGCAAGCGUUGUUCGGAGUUACUGGGCGUAAAGAGCUCGUAGGUGGUUUGUCGCGUUGUCCGUGAAAACUCACAGCUCAACUGUGGGCGUGCGGGCGAUACGGGCAGACUGGAGUACUGCAGGGGAGACUGGAAUUCCUGGUGUAGCGGUGGAAUGCGCAGAUAUCAGGAGGAACACCGGUGGCGAAGGCGGGUCUCUGGGCAGUAACUGACGCUGAGGAGCGAAAGCGUGGGGAGCGAACAGG
rnacentral:rRNA from 1 species